CGCUGGUGCUCCGCCGCCGCCGCCUGAAGUGGACAUCGGUGGGGAAGGGCUCGCCGAACUCAUUCACCCGGCUGAUACAACAAGAAUUGCUGUGCCAAAGAGAACUGCAGAGGUUUGCAGAGUGCAAAAGAGAGGAAAAGUAGAAAAGGAAUUCUGUGACCAGAGUGCCCUGCCAUUUCCCCACAACAAAUAAGGGAAGAAAAUGACAUUUCUAAGUAGAGGGCGAAUGCUGAUUUGCCAAGGUUUCCCUACCUCAGUCCUUCCUAUUUAGAAAAUGGCAAAGCCAGUAAUUUCCUUCUCCAUCAGGAAGGAUCAGGAGAGUGAGGUUCUAUAGCCAACAAGUCAGCUGAAAAAAGGAGAUAAAGGAAAGGAUACAAAAAGCUGAAUGUGUUGCUUCUCAGCAUCACUGGACACAAAUGACCUAUGGAAUAUUUAUCAGAACUAUUGUCCCAUCAGGCAACAGCUACCCGGAGCCUUUAAUGCUCCUUAACCAUUGCUUUUCUUCUUUU